UAAGUAAUAGCAAUGCAUUGAUCAAACCAUACGCUUGCUUGCUUAGAUAGUUGUAUCUUGCCCGUCCUCUCCUCCAUGGUGCGGGUUUGACCCACUCGCCAGAGACUCGGAGGCGCCGCCACUACCCAUAAUUGGCCUAUAAGCAUUGAGCGCGGCCAUAACACCUAAGUGACUUUCAGUAACAAUACUAGUGCCGCCGCCGCUGCCACUUCCGCUUAUUGCUGAACCCAAUUGUUGGCCAGGCAAGAAAGCCAUGG
rnacentral:misc_RNA from 1 species